rnacentral:rRNA from 1 species
UGGUGGAGUGAUCUGUCUGGUUAAUUCCGAUAACGAACGAGACUCUCCCCUGCUAAAUAGUCGGCUGGAUCUUGCUAGGUGAGUUGUACGCCGGGAUUUUCCUGAGCUGAGCCCAGCGUUGUCGUUGCGUGUGCGGCGUUUCCGUUUCGGCGGUUGCGUUUGCUGCGCGCUCGCGCGCCGGUGUCUUGGGCCCCGGGUGCCCGGACCGUGCACUCCAAGUCCGUCGCUUAAGCUA